rnacentral:rRNA from 2 species
UCUAGAGGCUUCGGCAAUGGGGGCAACCCUGACCGAGCGACGCCGCGUGUGGGAUUGAAGGCCUUCGGGUCGUAAACCACUGUCAUCGGGGACGAAUACCGGAAUGGCGAAUUCCGGGGGGACGGUACCCGAGGAGGAAGCCCCGGCUAACUCCGUGCCAGCAGCCGCGGUAAUACGGAGGGGGCAAGCGUUGUUCGGAUUUACUGGGCGUAAAGGGUGUGUAGGCGGCCGCGCAAGUCUGGUGUGAAAUCUUCACCGCUCAACGGGAAGAGGGCACUGGAAACUGCGCGGCUCGAGUAUGGUAGAGGCAAGCGGAAUUCCUGGUGUAGCGGUGGAAUGUGUAGAGAUCAGGAAGAACACCGGUGGCGAAGGCGGCUUGCUGGGCCAUUACUGACGCUGAGACACGAAAGCGUGGGGAGCAAACGGG